rnacentral:lncRNA from 1 species
UGAAACCAAAAAUGAUAUUAAGUCAAAAUAUAUAUAAGUAGUUCCAAAAAUACAAAAAUUGAUACAUUCUAAUCUAAUAAUUUUACAUAAAUUCUAUUUUUUAUAAGUAAAUGAAUUCAUUAUAAGAAUACAAGGAUACUCAAACCUGACAAAACAAAAGUUAUAUAAAUUAUAGUUGGGGUGAGACAUGUUUUCCAAUAAACACCAUUUUCAACUAAAAUGCUUAAUAAUCCAGACGAUACCAUUUUCAACUAAAAUGCUUAAUAAUCCAGACAAUGUCAUUAACAUUAAACACAUGAUUUUCGAAUAAAAUAUCAUUCAUAAUUUCUGAAUGCUAAGAAAAACCGCCCACCAUAUUAUUCCUUCUCGGUUCUUCUUAAGUUUCCUCUCAAAAUUUUACGCAAUGCCAAAAGGUGUUUAUAAUGUUUUCUCCGACCGAUAAAAAUAAACCAAUCCAGCUGUCGAUGGCUUCCCAAACC